rnacentral:rRNA from 1 species
AGCUCCAUUAGCGUAUAUUAAAGUUGUUGCAGUUAAAAAGCUCGUAGUUGGAUUUCGGUGCGGGCCAGUCGGUCGGCCGCAAGGCCUGCUACUGACUGGUCUGCUCUUCUUCUCAAAGACUGCGUGUGCUCUUCGUUGGGUGUGCGUAGGAUUUGGGACGUUUACUUUGAAAAAAUUAGAGUGUUCAAGGCAGGCGUCACUAGCUUGAAUACAUGAGCAUGGAAUAAUGGAAGAGGACCUCGGUCCUAUUUUGUUGGUUUCUGGGGCCGAAGUAAUGAUUAAGAGGGACAGUUGGGGGCAUUCGUAUUUAAUUGUCAGAGGUGAAAUUCUCGGAUUUAUGAAAGACGAACAACUGCGAAAGCAUUUGCCAAGGAUGUUUUCAUUAAUCAAGAACGAAAGU